rnacentral:lncRNA from 1 species
CCGCUCUCCGCCGCUCUCUGCCUCUCUAGGCUCGGCUCCCAUCGCCGCUAACGGAGCCCCAGGUCCUGGCCGGGUGCAUUCUUCAUGUUCACUUGGGGACAGGGUCACCUCUCAAUCGUUUGUAUAGAAUCCACUCUGCAGGCCAAGUGGGCUGAGACUGCAUCCAGAGCCAUCAGAACAGAUCCUGGCCAGUGUAUUAUUUACGGCUACGCAGCCUUUGCCUGUUGUCCUUCAUUUGGGAAGCUCUUGGAGAGCCAGCUGCCACCCCUUGCCCCCCAUCACCAUUAAAGGACUUGGCCGUGCCCACCAGCCAACACUUGUGGUACCUUCUGCUCUGGGCGCUGGCCCUGGCUGAAGCCUGCUCUGCUCACCAGGACUCCUGGCACAUCUGGCCAGCCAGCUGGGCUCUUCCUACACAUCCUGCGUCUCUGUGCUUUGAGCCUCCUCUACUUGGAAGUGGGGGAUGGAGUAGGAGAGACGAUGAUCCCCAAGUCUCACAGCCCUGACAUUAUAAAUCCAGCCCUGAUGAAAGUCCCGAAAAUGCAUCACUUCACCAUCAAGGCCUCUGUGAUUGCCUUUCUGAGAUGUCCUACAGCAUGGAUCCUGAUGACGACAUUCACAUCCCCACACCUGCUAGCUGCCCCUGCAUCCCACCUUUGUUCUGCAGUCAGAACCUCCACCUGGGGGGAAGGCACCCUGAGGCUCAUUGCCAGGCAAUCUGGGAGAUCUUCAUCAUUUCAACAGGAACUUGAGGACACAGCAGGGCCUUUUAGAGACCAAAGAAGAGAUGAGCGCCACGGCCGGGGAUCCGGGAGGUGGGGUCCCUCUCCCUCGUCCUCAUAGGCUUGUCCAUAAUUCUGCAUCCAGCGUUGGUCACCACCACCGUGGGAGUCUCUGCCUUGCCUGCCCGCUGCUGUCUAGCUGGGGCCCCUUAGGAACACUUCCUCCAAUUGGUUCAGGAGCCCAACUCCCAACUGCUACCAACAGAAGUAACACCCACUUAGGAAGGCCAGUUCGGCUUCCCAGCAAUCAUUAGACACUCAGAGCUCAAUGAAACAUGAUUUGGGGGAUUAUCCAAAGCCUGGGCCCCUCCGUUUGCUGCCAGAUAAGCUCACAUCAAGUGGCUCGUGUUUGCUUUUCUCCUCUCCAGGGGCAGCUGCAGCCAUUGUCACAUUCCCCCAGCAGCCUCCUCCCAUAUUUCACGCUCCAGGCAAAGGUCCUAGAGAGCAGAGUCCACUGGGACAGUCGGAAAGACAGCUGGAAGUGGUCGCUAGAGCGCUUCCACUCACCUUCCUUCAGCCCUGUCCCCUUCCCCAGAGGCGGCAGAGCUAAGCAGGCUUUGGAGCCUUUCCCAGUGCACCAGGCCCGAGCCUCCCUCUCCCACCACACAUAAGCACUUCCUUCCCCUGGCCUAGCCGCGUCCCUCCUAGC